CAGUGGAAACACAAACAAAUCAAACCCACUCUUCCCCCGUCUUCCCCUCUCCCCCUCUCACCACUCACUUAGCAAUAGCUAGGGUUUUAUUAUCUUUCUCUCCAUUGUAUUAGAAGCCCUAGCUUUGAAACUCCCAUCCCCAACAACAACAAUCACCAUCAGUGUUGGAUUCACCAUCACAGAUCCGCCAUUGCCCGUUGCGCAGCACCUCCUUCUACCGCAGAACCACCACCUCAGUGCCGACGAUGGCAGAUCUUGAAGGACGACCAAACCUUAGAGAGCUACGGAGCUUGAAGCAAGAAUCAAUGGAAUAGGUCAUAUGGCCACCCAAGGUUGCUUGAUCUGAGAAGGUGAUUUGAUCGGAACCGAAUUGGUCCUCAAAAUUGUUCCGAACUAGAGGAAGUUAAUAGUGUCAACUUUGUACUCUAAUCCAGUACGAAUUCUUAUCUCUGUCUCACAAAUUUCAUUCAAUUAUUUUACUUCUCGCAUUUGAUUUGUUAUUGUUUUAAUUGAUAUUUAGUGAUUUAACAUAUAUAGAUCUGUAUAUUUUGAUCAAAGCCUUUUGUUCUAUUUGACUAUGAUUCUGUUUUUGAGAUCCAAAAGUUUCUUUUGGUUCUAACUGAAUUAGACUUUGUAACUUUCCUAAUUUGGCAAUUAUCAAUUAGACACUCUCCCUCUCUUCUUUUCUCUUACUGCU